ACGUAACAACGCGCGGUGUAUAAAUAAUAUUCUCAUCAUGUAUAAUGUAGAUAUAGAGACGUAUGUAUGUACUUACAUACAUGCAUUUACCAGCGUAACACUGCACCGCGUUAAUUAUAUCAUUCACGGUUAUAUCGUACUGGCACUUUGAUGUAUGUAUUUGCCUUUACACCCACCUACCGAUGCGCACGGGGCGUGCUUCGUGGGAUUCUGCAUUCAAGAGUGUGAGAUUACGUACAAUGGCUAACAACAAGUAUCUGUACGAAUUGAAAACAAUUUACGUUCUUACAAAAGUGGUGCGUGUAUGGAAGUUCUUGUGCUCAAUUUAUUCUUGCACACACCAAUUCCUGAUAUAUAUAGCGUUGUUAUAAUUAAUCUCAUAUGUCAUGGUUCGUGAUGAUGAUGUGCAUUGAAAAUGAUAUGAUAAAUACUCUUCGCCUUGUGCACUGUCCUGUUUUUUUUAACAUUAUGGAAUAGAAACUGUGUGUUUGUGUAUCUGAUCAGGAAUUCCAGAUAUUUUUAUUUUUGAGGAGGUUAUUUCAAGCGGAGAAAACUAAUGUAGAACAGCAUAGAUUAAAAAUCGAAGAACGGAUAGGAAAUUAGGGAUUGAAGAAUUGACUACAUUUUGAUUCUUUUACAAUGAUGAGUUUAUUUCAAUAAUGAAAAUCGGAAUUAACAACCUCUUGGUAUAGGUAUAUUCGAAUUUAAACUUUGGAUUACCACUACAUGAUGUAAUCACUGCUGGUUGCAGGAUUCUGGAGCGUAAUUGGAUUUUAGGAUACCUGUUACCAGAAUCAUUCUCAAGCUUUACAUACAGUUGUAGGAACGCCGGGAAUUUUGUUUCACGCAGAUCGCAAACUCAAUUCAGAUCUAAUUCGAGAUCCAAAUUAGUUGGUUGAUCGCUUACUGAAAUCAGAUUUGGAUUUUGGAUGUAAAAGGGAGGAUUGCCGCUAGCAGAUUACAGUAUGAUCCGGAUCAUCCUUCAAUGCAUCAACUCCGCAACUGGACAUCAGAAGGAGUAAAAAUCAGCCGAAAGAUGUACGUGUUCAGUUUCGUGGUGAUUAUGAUACGAAGGCAUUGAUCAAACGCAGUGCAGACGGCAAGUCCUUGCUUGUCUGGACUCCAAUCCAACGAACUGACUGGUUGAGAAGAGAGCGUGCUGUUCUGGAGCAGAGAUACUGAACCGACUACUCCCUGCUCUAUGCCAUCGGCGUCUGCUGUCACUCGCUUUUCAGGAUAUUGGCUGCGGCACACAAGAACAGAAAUUUUACAUUGCAUAGCGAUCCUCCACCUCCCGACGUCAUGAAUAUCUCUCGGUUCUGGGGCAGAUGACGUACCAGCCAUAUAGUUGAUUUAUGCGCCUGAAAUCAAGUCGGAUUAUGGCUUGUUGCAAUGCUCUAUAAAAGGGUCAAACAGGUAGAACUUGGAUUCAAGAGUGGUGGCGACCAGUUUGUUCAUCGCGAUAUCUUUUCUGUCAAACUCCAAUCCACAAACUCCGUUCUUCAAGUUGCUCUCCCAUCUGAGAGCCAUCGCCUUUAGGUCAAACAUCUUAACGUCGCCAUUGUCAUAGCCAGCCGCGACGACCCUUUCUUCAGAGUUGUA